rnacentral:rRNA from 1 species
GUUUGAUCCUGGCUCAGAGUGAACGCUGGCGGCGUGCUUAACACAUGCAAGUCGAACGAGAAGCACACUUCGGUGUGUAGACAGUGGCGAACGGGUGAGUAACGCGUGGGGAUUUGCCCUAGAGUGGGGGACAACCUUUGGAAACGAAGGCUAAUACCGCAUACGCUCUUCGGAGGAAAGGCUUCGGCCGCUCUUGGAUGAUCCCGCGUCUGAUUAGGUAGUUGGUGGGGUAACGGCUUACCAAGCCUACGA